rnacentral:rRNA from 1 species
UAACACGUAAACAACCUGCCUUCAGGAUGGGGACAACAGACGGAAACGACUGCUAAUACCGAAUAAGUUCCAAGGGCCGCAUGGCCCAUGGAAGAAAAGGUGGCCUCUACCUGUAAGCUAUCGCCUGAAGAGGGGUUUGCGUCUGAUUAGCUGGUUGGAGGGGUAACGGCCCACCAAGGCGACGAUCAGUAGCCGGUCUGAGAGGAUGAACGGCCACAUUGGGACUGAGACACGGCCCAG